UCACGUAUCCACGUAUCAACCAUUGUGAACUGUUUUUACCUCUGAUAGGAUUUAGUGAAGGGAAAUGGAUUUCGGUCUGUUUCUUUUCUUAUCAGUUGUAAUCACUUUUUAUUAACAAUUUAAACCUUAAUUUUAUAACUUUUGAACUGAUUUAUUUCAUACUCUUCGGAGAUGAAAUUCAUUACGAAACAAAGAA
rnacentral:misc_RNA from 1 species